rnacentral:lncRNA from 1 species
UUUGAUUUAGGGUGAGGAUUUGGUUAGGAUUUGGUUAGGAUUUGGUUUAGAAUUUAGGAUUUAGUUUAGAAUUUAGAUUUUGGUUAAGAUUUGAUUUAGGGUUAGGAUUUGUUUAGGUUUUGAUUUAGGAUUAGAAUUUGGUUAAGAUUUGGUUUAGGAUUUAGGAUUUGGCUUAGGAUUUAAGGUUCGAUUAGAUUUUGAUUUAGGAUUUGGUUAGGAUUUGCUUUAGGAUUUAAAAUUUUAUUAUGAUUUAUUUAAGAUUUUAUUAGGAUUUAUUUAGGAUUUAAGAUUUAGUUAGUUUUUGGCCUAAAAUUUGAAUGAAGUCUA